AUACGUAGGGGGCAAGCGUUGUCCGGAAUUAUUGGGCGUAAAGGGCGCGCAGGCGGCCUGUUAAGUCUGGUGUGAAAGACCACGGCUCAACCGUGGGGUUGCACCAGAAACUGGCGGGCUUGAGUGCAGGAGAGGAGAGUGGAAUUCCCGGUGUAGCGGUGGAAUGCGUAGAGAUCGGGAGGAACACCAGUGGCGAAGGCGGCUCUCUGGCCUGCAACUGACGCUGAGGCGCGAAAGCGUGGGUAGCGAACAGGAUUAGAUACCCUGGUAGUCCACGCCGUAAACGAUGAGUGCUAGGUGUUGGGGGUUUCCGCCCUCUGUGCCGAAGGUAACCCAAUAAGCACUCCGCCUGGGGAGUACGGCCGCAAGGCUGAA
rnacentral:rRNA from 1 species